rnacentral:rRNA from 1 species
GACGAACGCUGGCGGCGUGCUUAACACAUGCAAGUCGAACGAAGUGGCGAACGGGUGAGUAACGCGUAAUCAACCUGCCCUUCAGAGGGGGACACCAGUUGGAAACGACUGCUAAUACCGCAUACUGAAGGGGGGGAGUGCGGCUGAUUGGCUAGUUGGGGGGGGGACGGCCCAACAAGGCGAUGGUCAGUAGCCGGUCUGAGAGGAUUAACGGCCAAAUUGGGAAUGAGAAACGGCCCAGACUCCUACGGGAGGGAGGAGGGGGGAAUCUUCCGCAAUGGACGAAAGUCUGACGGAGCAACGGCGGGUGAGUGAUGAAGGCCUUCGGGGUGUAAAGCUCUGUUAAGCGGGACGCGGUACCGGAAUAGAAAGCCACGGCUAACUACGUGCCAGCAGCCGCGGUAAUAC